GGAUCACCAGAAAAGGGUGCACAAUGUAUACCCUAAAUUCUAUGAAAAUUCCAAAAAAAAAAUGGAUAAAUUCGGUGCAAAAUUGAAAGAGUUUUGGAUUUCUAAAACUCUAUCUCAUCGAAUUCGAAAUCCAAACUUAUUCCUUUUUGAUUUGAUCCAAACCACCUUCCAUGUAAGAAAGAAGAGAGAAGACCUUUUGUGAACGUGGGAGAGACCUGGGAGAGGGCUUUUGUCACACAAAAUAAGUGGAGAUUGGCAUUGAAUAAGAGAGAGGGCGUGGGGAAGGCUUAUGUGGCGCA
rnacentral:lncRNA from 1 species